CGCCCCGCACCGGGAGCGGGGACGCGCCCCACAGGCGUCGACGCCGCCGCCGUUACCCCGAGCGACCGGAGAAUCGGGCCCAGUCAGUCCCCGCGGAAAGGGGCAGCACGGUAACUGUGACAGUCUGCGUCUGACCCGGGCCCCCCCCCCCCCCCCCCACCCGGUGCAUCACAUCGCCUCCCCCACCCUCACCAAUUCCCGGCGUUGCAACUGGUGGCUUUCCGACCUGUGCCAGCCAGAGGCCGUCAGCGGGGCAGAGGCUGGGCCUCAGGGCAUGGUGGUGGGGUUGGGCACAGUGUGGCAACAAAUAACCAAAGAGGCGAGAGGUGGAGGAGACUUCCUGGACAGGCUAUCAGAGUUGGGAGAAGAGGAUGGGGGAGAGAAAAUUUGCAAGAGUAUGCAAUGGUGAAGCACGUGUUGUGGAUGUGUCAACCAUGGCUGAACGGGCACAGCAGUACCGUCCCCCUCAAGCAGAGUUGUCACUUUGCCUCUUGCCUCGCCAACAUGAGGACAAAGUGUAGUCUGCACGCUGCGGGGACAGUAAAGGGACACCACGCCCAGUCCCUAACAACGAAGGAGCACCACCGUUGCAGAUGCGAUCCUUCAGAUGAGUCAACUAAACUUACCAAACUUGGGCGUGUGUGGAAGAUUUCUUGACUCUAUUCAAAGAAUGUUCUUCUUCUUCCUGGAACCGCACCAACGUCAUUCAAACUGGUUGCCUGGUUCACAUCACAUUGCUGUCUGUGGGAGUUAACUAUGUAUCCUCCAUUACAACAGUGACCAUUAUUUAAGAAAUACCUAUCUGUCUGUCACAUGCUCAUUGAAGGCAGGAAGAGCACUGUUGAACUGGCAGUGCCCUUCUGCAUCUCAAUCUGCAUUUCCCAUGUCUCGUGGAGUUUCAAGGACUCUGGCAAUGCUGUGAAGGAUUUUCUUUUGGACAAAUUAGUGCGCAAUGCUGACAGGUACCCUGAUAUCCAUAUUUAUUUCAAUAUCAAGAACUUUCUAUCCAAAGGUUAAGGCAUUCUUUUUAUUUCAUAAAGUGAUAGAUGAAAGCAAGUAUUUAAUCAAAGAGUCACUCAAAACAUAAACUGGUGCCUCAGCCAGUUGCAUCUGUGCUGCUGAGCAACAAGCAUCUCUUUAGGUUGAUCCUACACGAAUCCCAUUUUAUUCUUAUCACAUUCCCAUCAUAGACUCCAUCCUCCUCACCUUGUUUUCCAGCCUAUCUUUGUGUAUUCAGGAACCUGGCACAUUGUACUCAGUUCCUCAUUCUCGUCACUGAUAUGGGCCGCAACCAGUUGAGCCACAGCAUUGAUCUGCACAGCAUCCUACUAAUCACAGUUUGCCAGCUUCAGUGUCAUCCAUUUAUCCCCUCAUUUUUCCUGUCAGUUAAUCAGUCCUCUAGCUACAUCAAUGGUACGUGUUCUCACCGUUCUAAUUCUCAGCUGUGACAUCUUAUUGAAAAUAUUGUUUGGAAAAUGUAAAUAGACCUCAUAUCCAAACAAUUUAUUACAUCCUCCAAGAAUUUUAAUAAACUUUU